GUCCCACUCUCUGCCUUUCCCCUGCUUGUGCUCUCUCAAAAAUAAAUAAAACAUUCUGCAAAUUUUGUUUUGUCUCUUCCUCAACCUAUUUCUUGUUGUGUUUAAAUACAAAUGCCAGAUACCAUAUCAUUUCACCCAUGAUAUUUCUGUAUACCUUUUAACAGAUGAGUUUUAAAAAAUGUAAUCCAUUGUCAUACCUAACCAAAUAAUUCCUUACCUGAUAUUGAGUCUAUAUUUAAGGUUCAUCUUUAAAAAAAAAUCAUUUUAUAGUUGAUUGGUUUGAAUCAGGACCCAGUCAGGGUCCACACAUUACUAAUAUGUCUCAGGUCUCUCAGAAUCACAAGAUGUAUCUUUUGCCCCCCACAUUCUGUUUCUUUGCUAAUGAAACUGGGUCAUUUGUCUUAAAAGAAUUUCCCAUAUUCAAUAUUUCACCAUUGGAGUCCAUUUCUCUAGUUCUCACUGAUCCUGUAAACUGAUGGUUGAUGAAGGGAAAAUUUUUAAAUAGAAUUCCUUCUAGUAAACACAGAAGUUUUACUAGAAAUACAGAAUGAAAUACAAAAUGUUAGAAAGACA